rnacentral:ncRNA from 1 species
UUUGGUCCUAGAUAUACUAUUAUCUCUUUAAAGUAUUACACAUGCCAGCCUCCGCAUCCCAGUGCCUAAAACCAAAAACUGAAGAUCAGUUAUGAAUCGACAUCAGGUACGCUACCCAGCAGCCAACGACGUCUAGCACCGCCACACCCCCACGGAACCCAGCAGUGAUAAACAUUAAGCCAUGAGCUAAAGCUCGACUUAGACAAAAUGAACCAGGACCGGUAAACUUCGUGCCAGCCACCGCGGUUAUACGAAGGGUCCAAGAUAAUAUUUUACGGCGUAAAGUGUGAUCAGAGAUAACCCAGAAGAUUAUAGAACCAUAAAUUAGUAGUAAAAUACAUAUAUUUACAGGACUACCCACCAAUAAUCUAUACAAUGCCUUGACUCACGAAAGCUGGGACACAAACUAGGAUUAGAUACCCUACUAUGCCAGCCGUAAACUUAAGCAAACACAUACAAAUUUGCUCGCCAGAAAAUUACAAGCGAAAGCACAAAAUUCAAAGGACUUGACGGUGUUCCAUAUCAGCCUAGAGGAGCCUGUCCUGUAAUCGAUAAUCCACGUUAUACCUCACCCACUUUUGAUAAAACAGUCUAUAUACCGCCGUCGUCAGCUUAUCUAAUGAUAGAAUCAAAAUAAGCAAAAAUGUCUAACACCAAAACGUCAGGUCAAGGUGUAGCUAAUAAGUGGGCAUGAGAUGGGCUACAUUUUUUUAAACUUAAAAAAUACAGCAAGAAAUAUGAAACAUAGACUAUAAAGGUGGAUUUAGCAGUAAAUUUGUGCAAGACAUGCCAUAUUGAACUUAGCUCUGGAACGCGU